UGGUGGACCCUGCUGACUUGCUCACUACUGGCAAGCAAAGUGUUCACUGAUGAAUGAACAAUUACAUUUACCCACAGACUGAAAUAUGAUGUUAUUUUGUUUUGACUGAAAUUCCAACUCACUGUGAGAAUACUGUGAAAAAAAUCAUGAGAAGUAUCCUCAUAGGUGAGUCUUUUCACACAUCUGCACUAGUGAAUAUCUGAAUUUUAAAAGCCACUCCAGACCUACAUAGGUGAUGAACGAUGUGUACUUGAAAACAGUACACUCUUGCACAGCUGUCCCUGGAGCUUCCCCGUGGAGCUGUUAAACUUGCCCUCCGCUGGCUGUUUUCCACAAAGUAAUAUGGUUACAUAGAUUCACGGCUCAUGGCAAUGUUUCAUUAAGACAGUUCUUGAUGGCCGCUCCACACCUUUCUCACCACAUCUCACAGGCUGCCCUGCUGAGCCAGGUCUCCCUGGAACCCGGGGCUCCUGCGCAGGCCCCCAUUUUGCUCCAGAACACCCAGGAAGGCGGGGCUUGGGCUGGAAUGGGGACACCGAUUACCCUCUGUUCAGGCCUUUGGUGCCAGCUGAGGUCGAUACUGGUGCCAGGAUCGAGACUGUGCGCAUCCCAUCGAGAGCGGGCAGAUGUGGGGGCGCACUGGACCGGGCCUCCCAGGCUGACACCCAUUCACAGCAGCCUGAGCCUAAUCCGCCACUGCUCGCCUUCCUCCGACGUCUCCACCUAAACCAUCCUUCUGCACAUUGUGACCCAUCACUCCGCCCUUUGUCCA
rnacentral:lncRNA from 1 species